rnacentral:rRNA from 1 species
AUUGAACGCUGGCGGCAGGCUUAACACAUGCAAGUCGAGCGGGGUUUUCGGACCUAGCGGCGGACGGGUGAGUAAUGCGUAGGAAGCUGCCCGAUAGAGGGGGAUACCAGUUGGAAACGACUGUUAAUACCGCAUAAUGUCUACGGACCAAAGUGUGGGACCUUCGGGCCACAUGCUAUCGGAUGCGCCUACGUGGGAUUAGCUAGUUGGUGAGGUAAUGGCUCACCAAGGCGACGAUCCGUAACUGGUCUGAGAGGAUGAUCAGUCACACUGGAACUGAGACACGGUCCAGACUCCUACGGGAGGCAGCAGUGGGGAAUAUCGGACGAUGGGCGAAAGCCUGAUCCAGCCAUGCCGCGUGUGUGAAGAAGGUCUUCGGAUUGUAAAGCACUUUAAGUUGGGAGGAAGGGUCGUUACCUAAUACGUGACGAUUUUGACGUUACCGACAGAAUAAGCACCGGCUAACUCUGUGCCAGCAGCCGCGGUAACAC